rnacentral:rRNA from 1 species
AUUGAACGCUGGCGGCAGGCUUAACACAUGCAAGUCGAGCGGAGAUGAGGUGCUUGCACCUUAUCUUAGCGGCGGACGGGUGAGUAAUGCUUAGGAAUCUGCCUAUUAGUGGGGGACAACAUUCCGAAAGGAAUGCUAAUACCGCAUACGUCCUACGGGAGAAAGCAGGGGAUCUUCGGACCUUGCGCUAAUAGAUGAGCCUAAGUCGGAUUAGCUAGUUGGUGGGGUAAAGGCCUACCAAGGCGACGAUCGGUAGCGGUUUUGAGAGGAUGGUCAGCCACACUGGGACUGAGACACGGCCCAGACGCCUGCGGGAGGCAGCAGUGGGGAAUAUUGGACAAUGGGGGGAACCCUGAUCCAGCCAUGCCGCGUGUGUGAAGAAGGCCUUAUGGUUGUAAAGCACUUUAAGCGAGGAGGAGGCUACUGAGACUAAUACUCUUGGAUAGUGGACGUUACUCGCAGAAUAAGCACCGGCUAACUCUGUGCCAGCCGCCGCCGUAAUAC